AGGGAAUAGAUACCCAGGUAGUCCUGGCCUUAAACGAUGGAUGCUUGGUGUCUGGAGUUUUAUAGUCUCCGGGUGCCGCAGCUAACGCGUUAAGCAUCCCGCCUGGGGAGUACGGUCGCAAGACUGAAACUCAAAGGAAUUGACGGGGACCCGCACAAGCGGUGGAGCAUGUGGUUCAAUUCGACGCAACGCGAAGAACCUUACCUGGGCUAGAAUGCCUCUGACAGCCGUAGAGAUACGGUCUCCUAGGGAAACCUAGGCAGAGUGCAAGGUGCUGCAUGGCUGUCGUCAGCUCGUGUCGUAAGAUGUUGGGUUUAAGUCCCGCAACGAGCGCAACCCUUAUCGAUAGUUGCUAGCGGUUCGGCCGAGCACUCUAUUGAGACUGCCGUUGACAAAACGGAGGAAGGUGGGGAUGACGUCAAGUCCUCAUGGCCUUUAUGUCCAGGGCUACACACGUGCUACAAUGGCCGGUACAAAGCGCUGCAAACUCGCGAGAGGGAGCCAAUCGCAAAAAGCCGGUCUCAGUUC
rnacentral:rRNA from 1 species